GGUCAAAACAAUAACAUAAUGCAAAACUGAAUAAGACAGCAAAAUUCAACAGCAAUAUUUUAUUGAAACAUAUUUUAAAUCUAAAAGUGCAGUUUAACCAGCAACAGCUGAUUCUCAUUGUAGAUGAACAUCUACACAGGUGUUACGCCUUCAAUUUCAUUACAAAAGGAGACAACUGCUGAAUAGGUUUGUUUUGUGAUGUAAACAUGGACCCAGCCAGAAAUGGAGAAGUGGCUGAAAGAGGAAGAAGAGUGGCUGGGAGGGGGCGAGGUAUGCGUGGUGGAAGAAGAAUAAGAGGAAGAUCAAGAGCUGUAGUCUCAGAUGAGAUCAGAGCUACUGUAAUUGAUCAUGUAGUAAAUCAUGGUCACUCAAUGAGAGAGGCUGGUCAGAGAGUGCAGCCAAAUCUGCAACGCUCUACAGUGGCAUCUAUUGUUAGAGUUUUCCGGCAAACCAACAGGACUCAACAGUUACCUCACAUAGGAGGGAGAGGACGGAUGUUCACUGAUGUGCAGGAAACUGCCAUUGUUGAUAUGGUCAUCAGAAACAAUGGGAUAAAACUCACUGAAAUUAGACAGAGUCUUGGCAGACAACGUUACUUUCGCAAAUAUUCACAGUGUAAGCAUAACAACAAUUUCUAAAGUCCAGAAAAAACAUCAGGUCAGGAUGAAACAGUUGUACACUGUGCCUUUUGAGAGGAACUCUGAACAUGUCAAGCAACUCAGGAACCAGUAUGUCCAGAGAGUCAUGGAGAUUGAAGGCAGGCAAACGCACCACAUUUUCAUCUUUGUGGAUGAGGCAGGUUUCAACUUGGCCAAAGCACGGCGACGAGGGAGGAAUGUGAUUGGGAAGAGAGCCACAGUGACUGUCCCAGGCCAGAGGGGUGCCAACAUCACAAUGUGCGCAGCAAUAUCCACCGAUGGACUGCUGUUACACAGACCACUAAUUGGGCCAUACAACACUGAACGGCUCCUUGCGUUCCUGCAUGAUCUCUAUGGACGGGUUGUGCUAGGUGAGGAAAGGGAUGCAGAGAGAAGGAAUCAGCCAACAUUUAUAAUUGUAUGGGACAACGUGGCAUUUCAUCACUCCCGUGCAGUCACCAAGUGGUUUGCAGCCCAUCCCAGAAUGGAGUCUCUUUUCCUCCCACCUUACUCUCCAUUCCUCAACCCCAUAGAGGAAUUCUUUUCCUCAUGGCGGUGGAAGCUUUACCACCAUCAUCCACAUGAUCAAAUGUCCCUCCUGGAUGCAAUGAAUGCUGGAUGCCUGGAAAUAUCAGCAGAAGAUUGCCAGGGAUGGAUCAGGCAUGCCAGGAGAUUCUUUCCUAGGUGUAUCGCCCUAGAUGACAUAAGAUGUGAUGUGGAUGAGAACCUGUGGCCAAAUGGAGAAGACCGAGUAGAUUAGCAUUACUAUUGUAUGUGUAUCAGUGGAUGGUGUGUAUACAAAUUCUUGUAUUUUGGGAUUACUUAGUGCAAAAAAAUAAAAAUACAUAAACAUAAAUACAUGAUGUCUGAUUCAUUCCAGUAACAUAUAUUGAAAUUAUAAACAGAGAUGUGUCCUUGUUUUACACAAGAAAACACUGUGUAAUGCUACAUGUUGUUAGUGUUUUUUAGGUCAUUGUUUUGUGGGUGACAAAGUGUGUUUGUCGGCUGUCAACCUUUGCUAGUGUUCUGGAAGAAUGAGUUUAUUUGAGACCUGAAUAAAGUGUUUUGGUAGUUGUAGUGCAUUUUGAAUGUGAAAUGAACUGCUUUGCCAAGCUGAAGGUCAGUUAGAGGAGUUGUGUGAAGAGUUUUGCAAAAGUGACCUAAGUAUUGAGAAAUGUGUCCUAGUGGCUGUAAAAAAAAAAAAACCAAAAAAAAACCUGUAACACUUUUGACAGUGUUAUAUGUUUAAAAGUAACCUAGUCAGUUUUGAAGAUUAACAAUGGCUAACACUGAGCAGUGCUGAUUUUCUAACACUGGAAUAUUUCUAACAUUUUGAGUUAUUUUCCAGUGUUAGAAAAUCAGCACUACUAGCACGUAGAGGCCUCCUCUGUGCUACGAUAAGCCAGCCAAACACUGGCUGUAGCUUCAGAUGUCCUGCACAAACAUGAGAGGCAGCAGUGCUCUUAUAACACUCAGCAAGAAGGUGAAGAUCAAAAGUCAAAAAGAUUUCUUUGAGUUUAUUGCUGUUUAUUGCUUUAUGUCCCUC
ensembl:lncRNA